rnacentral:rRNA from 1 species
CCUACGGGUGGCAGCAGUGAGGAAUAUUGGUCAAUGGGCGGGAGCCUGAACCAGCCAAGCCGCGUGAAGGAAGAAGGCGCCAAGCGUCGUAAACUUCUUUUGUCGGGGAACAAAGGGCGCCACGUGUGGCGUUUUGAGUGUACCCGAAGAAGAAGCAUCGGCUAACUCCGUGCCAGCAGCCGCGGUAAUACGGAGGAUGCGAGCGUUAUCCGGAUUUAUUGGGUUUAAGGGGUGCGUAGGCGGUCCGGAAAGUCAGCGGUAAAAUCCCGGGGCUCAACCCCGGCGAGCAGUUGAAACUGGCAGUCUUGAGUACAGUAGAGGUGGGCGGAAUUCGUGGUGUAGCGGUGAAAUGCUUAGAUAUCACGAAGAACUCCGAUUGCGAAGGCAGCUCACUGGACUGCAACUGACACUGAUGCUCGAAAGUGUGGGUAUCAAACAGGAUUAGAUACCCCAGUAGUC